rnacentral:rRNA from 1 species
CGCUCUUUGAAAAACCGUCUUUAAAGGUUUAUAAUAUAUGAAGAGUCGGACCUGCCCGGUGACUAAGAUGUUAAACGGCCGCGGUACUCUGACCGUGCAAAGGUAGCAUAAUCAUUUGCCUUUUAAUUGAAGGCUUGUAUGAAUGGUUUGACGAGAACUAAGCUGUCUCUUCUUAAUUAUGGAAAAAUUAAUUUUUAGGUGAAGAAGCCUAUAUUUAAUUGAGGGACAAGAAGACCCCGUUGAGCUUUAGUAAUUUAGUAAAAAUUUUUAAUUUAAAAUGUAUUAACUUCUCACAUUAAAUGAAGAUAUUUUUUAUUGAAAAUCUUUAGUUGGGGCGACUAAGGAACACAUAAAGCUUCCUUUAUAAAUUUUUAGGAGAAUUCAGUCUAAAAGUGAUCCAAUAUUUAUUGAUCAAAGGAAAAAGUUACCACGGGGAUAACAGCGUAAUCUUUCUGGAGAGUUCUUAUCGAAAGAAGGGUUUGCGACCUCGAUGUUGGACUAAGAUAUCCUGGAGAUGUAGAAGUUUCUAAUGGUUAGUCUGUUCGACUAUUAAAAUCUU